CCCCUCAGUCUUGAUAUUGA
rnacentral:miRNA from 1 species